rnacentral:tRNA from 1 species
GAGGUUAUAGCUCAGUGAUAGAGUGCCUGCUUAGCAUGCACAGGGUCCUGGGUUCAAUCACCCAGUACCUCCA